rnacentral:misc_RNA from 1 species
CGAAUAUUUUAUUUUCCUCAUUGAAAGGAAUACCAACAUAUUGCUUUCAGAAAGUGACAGUAAGAGGAGUUAAAUCAAGAAAAUAUGGGAUCACCAGACAAAUAAGAUUAUUCCGUCUAGUAAUAAACUUUGCUGUGUAAUUUUAAAUCGAAAGCACAUUCAGUUCCUGCAAGCCAACAAUAAUGUAACUUAUUAGCAUACAAAUUCUCUAGUUUAUGACUCGGGAAUAUUCAUGAUCCACAAUCAGUCCUGGUACUUCAAAAGCAUAUCAUGGUUGCAAAAUGACUAGUGCUGUCAGUUCAGCCUAGCUUCACAGGCAAAGUUAUGCACUCCCAAUUUCUUGACACCUUUGUAGGGUUCGGUGGCCUUUGCAGAAAUCAGUUGCAGUCAAUUUUAGUAUUUCGUUCAAUAUUUGAUAUUGCCAAACAUGGAAUAGCUGCAGAUUUUCUGUCAACACAAGGAUGCAUCAGCUCUAUUUCUUUUAACUGGCUUAUCCUCGGCAAGAUAGGUGAACAUGUUAGCAAUGAUUCACCAUCAAUCAUCUGAUAAGUCUCCAUUCCAUUGUAUUUCUGUUUAAAAUAAUAUAAAUAAUGAUAGUAAACAGUAGCAGUUGCAGAAGUUGAAAAAUGGAUAACAUGGGCGUCAAUGCACAUAGGAUUGAGAAACCAUACCAUGCACCUGGAUUUCAAAGUUUGAAUUAGUAGUGUUCUCCUGUCACUUUCAUUCUCAGAAAAAUUAAAAAAGGCAGUGUAUCCUGGAUAUCUGAAUCUUAUUAAGAGAGAAAAUACAGAGGCAUCAUAAGUAUAACAUUUUCCAAUAUGUUCAGCAGAUCUAGAACAUAAAAUAGCAACCUUAAAAUGCCAUAGAUGAGAUACCCAAAGCUUUGCAACUUCAUGCUACUUGUAAAUAAUAGAAUUCAUGGAGAAAUAAUGGCCGAUGACUUCCCUAUCCCCCUUCAAAAAGUAUAGGACCAUGCAAUUAUUAGUGAAGAUACAUAGCCAACCUGAAAGAUGACAAAAAGAAAAAUGAUUUAGUAGACCAGAACCAUUUCUUGCAACAUAAUAAUAAUAAUAAAAAUAAAAAUAAUAGAUUAAGAGGGAGAGAUCUUACAAGGUUGAAUACUAUGUUUUAAUUAUCUGACCUAAGAGCACUAAAUCCCAUCAUGAACUGCAUAUAAACACACACACAACGUACGUUUCAUCUUGUUAAUAACAUCUCAGCUGGAUAUAUCUACAAAGUGAAAUCUCAUUAAAGCAAUAUUAUAGAGCAUCUUACUGCCACCAGUUGCAGAGCCAGAAUUUUGGAAAAAGAGGGCCAAAUUUAUAGUAUUUCUUAAUUCUUAUGAUAAGGCAAGAUAAGUGGGGAAAUUUGAUAUUAAUAUUAGAAAUUUAUUAAAAAUAUUAAAAAUGAAAUUCACAUGCAAAAGUUUUAAAAAAGGUAAAUCUGUAAUUAUUGACAUAUGUUUAUAAAAUGAAAACGAGUAGUUUAGAAAAAUAAAGCAUGCAACAAAGAAAUCAUGCUCAUAGCCCAAUGCAAUUUAGUAAAAUGCCUUUUAAUUAUGUAAAACAACCAUAAAAAAAUAAACUAAAUAUUUUUUAACUAUUACAAAAUGCUGUAUUCGGCAAUAAACAUUUUUUUUUUGUUCUCUCUCAUAUUUAGUUCUAGCACUUCCUCCACUCUUGAGUCUUGACUGCCAUGAUACUGCUCCAUAUUCCUUUUCUUUCUAUAUUUUUAUUUCUCAUAUUUAAGAAGCAGAAAUUUGCACUUACAAUAUUCAUUCAUUUCUAAGAAAAGUUCCUGAAAGCAAGAGGCUCAAACCUGUGUGUGCCAACAUUGGAAUUCACCAAGGCAGCAGUUGCCAACAACAGGGACCUGACAAGAUGUAUCCCAACCAAUGAAUGCCAAAAUUUAGGCUCUGCAAUACAGGGGGCAAACAAAAAUAACCAAAUAACAUUAACUUUCAACCUGAAAGUACAAAAAAUAUGAUUAUCAAUGAAAGAUGCUGGAAAUUACGUGCCAGAUAUUAGCUUAAAAACAUGCAGAAAGCAUAAAAGAAUGCUGUAACAAAGCAUACUCUAAAUUUGCAUCCACCUGUUUUUAAUCACUUCCUGGAUGGAAACAAGGUAUUUAAUUACGGUAACCCAUGACUGACUGUUACAUACAGGAGGAUUAGGUUCAAGAAGAAAGUAGUUAAGGAUGUCUGAAGUAAUAGGAGUUGCAGUAGAAGCAGUUAUAUGGGUGUCUAUAGUAGUUGGUAUGAUGAGCUGGAGUUGUUAAAAAGAAGUUAGGAUUGGUGGGAACAGUUGUAACAGUAGAAAAAGCUGUACAAAGAGCAGCUAAGAAUCUGGAUGAAGGCAUUCAAGAAAUAUCAAGAAACAUAUCAAUUCUCUCUCCAUUCCUAUUCUAUUUUCUUAUUCCUAAAGUCUAUUCUCUCUCAUCUUCCUAUUUUUCUUCUGUUCUUUCUCAAUUUCUUCAGUAUCAGGGCUGUUAGGGUUUUUAACCCUAACACUGACCUACUGAGGAGAAUGCACUUCAUUUCUGUUACAGUUAUUGACACAUCAGGCAGGUGACCUAUUGACUUCUAUAGCAACAAGAAGUAGGCGCCACCAGAAGAUGUGCAUAAAACAACCACAAUUACUAAUACAAGUAAACCAUCACAUAAUCGAUUCUGAUACAGUAAUUUGACUGAAUUCUACACUAGCAAACUGCACAUCAGCAUUACAUAUCAAACAUCUAAAUUACUGCAUGAAAGAAUAGCACACUCACCAGUUGUGUCAGUAGCCAAUAAAAAUGCUGCCUCUGACAAAUAUUUGAACUAACUAUCUAGCUACUAUAAAUUUUUCUUUCAUUUCCAGACUCCGUAAGGUUGUAGAAGAGAAGAACUUCAAUCUAACUGUUACAAACCUUAUGAUAACCACACCCAAAAGCUAGAUGUUGAUGUGGGAGAGCCAAAGUCCAUAUAAACCCCACAGCAAAGUUCCCAUACCAUUGAUACGCGAUCCAAGUCCCAUACCUUGCAUUGUAACACAACAAGCAGCAUAGCAUGACCAAAAGGUGCUACUGUCACUAGAGAAUAUAUCUCCAAUAGGAAAAUUUUAGCUAUGGCAGAAGGUUAGCAUUUUAGACACACAAAGGAAGAUAAUCAUGAGAUAUUAAGUUACUAACCAUAUCUCAUGUAGAUGUAACUUCUCUUGAACUGGCACUAAUUAAUAUCUCAGAGGCAGCUCUGUCAAGGGUAAAACCCUUUUCCAUCAUCUGACCCCACACCCUACAAGCAACUGACAGCUUCUUUUCUGCUAUAAGGCCUCCAACGAUCAAUUUGUAUGUUACUUCAUCAGGAUAAUAUCCUCUGCUUUCCAUUUCUUCACAUAAAUGCAUAGCUUCACUUACUCUAAAGGAUUUGCAAAACCCAUUUAUAAGGGCAUUAUAUGAAAUCACAUCAGGUGAAAUUCCCUGCUCUACCAUAUCACAGAAAAGCGAGUGAGCCAUAUCUACUUUCCCACUCUUGCAUAGGUGAUCCAUGAUAGUCGUAUAAAAUAUACGAUCAGGUGAAAGUCCUAUUUCUGUCAUCUGAUCAAGAAGCUUUUUAGCUAUAGUAGAACUACCUUCUCUAAGAAAAGCUUUUAUUAGAAUAGUGAAUGUAACCACAUCUGGCGGAAUCCCCUUCUGUCUCAUUUCCACGAACAGCUUAUAAGCUCUUUGGAGAUCACUUCGCUUGCAAAAUGCUUUAAUAAUGGUAUUGUAUGAAACAACAUCACAAAACCCUUCUGGCCCCAUUUUGUUCAUCAAAAUACAAGCUUUAUCUGGGCGAUUAACUUUACAAAGUCCUUUAAGAAGCUGAUUAUAACUGUACACAUCAGGUUCUAUCCCACUUCUUUCCAUCUUCUUCAUCAACUCCUCUGCCUCCUCCAACAUUAGCUCAUCACAACAAUAAUUCAACAGCACAUUGUAUGUAACCAAAUCUGGCUCACAACCAUUUCGUCUCAUAAAAGAUUUAAUUGCCUUAGCCUUAUCAACCCUACCUGCUCUACAAAACCCACUAAUCAAGCCAUUGUAUAUCAGCGUACUAAACUUAACUUGACCACUCUUCAUCACAUCAACUGUAAGCUCAUAAGCCAAUUCUACCUUCCCUCCAUCACACAACCCAACAACAAGCGCAGCACAGGCCUUAUUAUCGGGUCUAAAUCCCUUAUUUUUCAUAUCGCGCCAAAACUGAACUGCAAUAUCGAAUUUCUUCAUUUUACACAACCCAUCAAUAAUAAUAGUAUAUGUUACAACAUCCGGCUCCCUCCCUCUCUCGACCAUCCUCUCAAACACCUCUAAUGCUAAUUCUAUCCUACCUUCACGAAAUAAGAGAUCCAAAUAAAUAUUAAAUGCCCAAAUAUCAGGUACACAAUUAAGUCUCUCCAUGUCACGCAGCAGUUCAUCAAUAAGCGUAAAGUUCUUUACUUGGCAUAAACCCGAAAUGAAGCGAGAGUAAGUAAAGGGAGAUAGCGAGAACCCAAGAGGACCCAUUUUAGAGUAGUAUUGGUGGGCUAAAUCGAAAAGAGAAUGGCGGAUUAAAACUCCAAUGAAUCGGUUAUAAUCGAUGCUAAAAACACGGCAGUUUGAUUGAAUCAUUUUAUCGAACACUUUGAUAGCUUUGUCGAUCAGACCAGCCUUAACACAACUAGCGAUGCGAGAACGGUAUAUGAGGCGGUGCGCGCCCAGCGAUUGAUACAUGUCAGGACGAUAUGCAUAGCAAUGAAUCGAAUGGCGAACUCAUGGGAGCAAUCAAUAGAGGGGCAAACGGACAGUCAUAUGAAGAGAAAGGACAGAAGUUAAUUCCAAAUUUGUAAUGCAGAGGAUAGAGGGGGAAAAAAGAAUGAAGCAGAAGCAGAGCUAAUAGCGGAGAAAGACACGGGGCAACCAGGAAAGAGCAAGUGCGCACUCACCUGGUUUCGGCUAUGGAGGAAGGGAAGGAGAAACACUGAGACUG